rnacentral:rRNA from 1 species
AUUGAACGCUGGCGGCAUGCCUUACACAUGCAAGUCGAACGGUAACAGGUCUUCGGAUGCUGACGAGUGGCGAACGGGAGAGUAAUACAUCGGAACGUGCCUAGUAGUGGGGGAUAACUACUCGAAAGAGUGGCUAAUACCGCAUGAGAUCUACGGAUGAAAGCAGGGGAUCGCAGGACCUUGUGCUACUAGAGCGGCCGAUGGCAGAUUAGGUAGUUGGUGGGAUAAAAGCUUACCAAGCCGACGAUCUGUAGCUGGUCUGAGAGGACGAUCAGCCACACUGGGAAUGAGACACGGACCAGACUCCUACGGGAGGCAGCAGUGGGGAAUUUUGGACAAUGGGCGCAAGCCUGAUCCAGCAAUGCCGCGUGCAGGAUGAAGGCCUUCGGGUUGUAAACUGCUUUUGUACGGAACGAAAAGCCCUGGGUUAAUACCCUGGGGUCAUGACGGUACCGUAAGAAUAAGCACCGGCUAACUACGUGCCAGCCGCCGCCGUAACAC